GUUUACCAAAAACAUGGCUUCUUGUAUUUAAAUAAAAUAAGGAGUCGGACCUGCCCAGUGAAAUUUUUUAACGGCCGCGGUACUCUGACCGUGCAAAGGUAGCAUAAUCAUUUGCCUUAUAAUUGGAGGCUAGUAUGAAUGGGUUGACAAGAAUACAGCUGUCUCUUUUUAAUUUAUUAGAAUUUUAUUUUAAGGUGAAGAAGCCUUAAUUUAAUUAAAAGACAAGAAGACCCUGUCGAGCUUUAAAGAAAUUAGCAGAAAAUCACUUUAAUUAAAUUAAAAAAUUAUCUGUUGAAAAUUUUGGUUGGGGCGACUGAGGAACAAAAAAAGCUUCCUUUUUAACAAUAAAAUAUAUAAAUUUUGAUCCAAAAGUUUUUGAUUGAAAAAAUUAGUUACCGCAGGGAUAACAGCAUUAUCUUUUUUAAGAGCUCUUAUCGAAAAAAAGGUUUGUGACCUCGAUGUUGGAUCAGAAUAUCCUAAAGAUGCAGAAGUCUUUAAGGGUUGGUCUGUUCGACCAUUAAAAUUCUACGUGAUCUGAGUUCAGACCGG
rnacentral:rRNA from 1 species